UCUUCUAUUUGAUUAGCAGGCAUUUGAACAUUUUCCGAUGUCGAUUAGUUAUUGAAUUGCUAGAGUGAUACAUGUAAAGCCCACCCUAUUUGAGGUGCUGGAAUGAGAAGCACUAUUCUGGUUGUCAUCUAUUUCUUCUCAUUUCAUAUGGACUUUGGGAUGCAGCAAGCUUAAUCCCCCAAGUCCAUGUGCAUUUUUAGGGAAUUAUUCAUGGCAUCUGGAGUAAUCUACCUCCAGUGGAAAAUCCUUUGCAACUAAACUGUUAAGAUUUUUGGGUGCAUUGAUGUCACCUUAAGUGGUCGGUGAUUUUAGGCAAUCCUAUUUUUAUACAGGACAUGCUAUUGGACUUUAACCUUCUUCAGUGAAAUCAUGAACUUGAAAACUAUUGAGAGCAUUCAAGUUAUGUGAAAUUGGCUUGUUAAGAAAAAUCUACUAUAUCAUACUUGCAAACAAGGACGUCGUGUCCACGUCCAAGGGUAUAAAAUGGAAAUAUUUAUAGGAGUCUAAUACAUGUCAGUCUGAGGUGGAAAUGUCGUUUGGUGGGAUAAAUUGCAAUAAGGCAGGAUAAAGGGGUUAUAUUCCUCACUAUCUUUGAACCGAACAAAUCCUCUACAUAAGGGGAAAAGUGCUAUAUUUUGUACCUUCUUACAACUUUAUAGUGAGUUUGAACCUAAGUUGCUAGUAAUUUUCUCAAAUUGAUUUUGAUGGCUUUCUAUGUUAGAUUGUAUAGAGAUAUGAAAUUUGCUAUUUUUAGAAAGUCUGAACUCUGAAAGUAUCCUAUUUUCCUAGUUGAAUAAGGGGCUAGUGAUCAAGUCUUAUUGUGUAUUUGGCUAUAAAAGGAUAGAGAGAACAUCGUCUAACAAGUUCAGUGAUAAUCAAUGCAAAAUAAAUUCUCUUCUACCAUCAUUACUUCUAACUUCUUCCCCUUAUUUUUCUUAUCUUCUAUUCUAUUUGUUACUUUCUCUUUGAAAUAGCAAUCAGACAAACAAAAGUGAUCUAUAAUGACUACAUCAUUUUCAAAUCUGAUUUAAACUGUCCGGUAACCACUCAUUAUGUAUUCUUUGACCAAUGGCGCUACAUCAAGGUUUCCUAGUCCAAUACAUAAGAGCUGCCUUCAACCUGCUGCCUGAUGAAAGCUUCUUUGACGAGGUUGUCAAAAUCAUUCACCUAUAUGCAAGCACCCAGAUGGUGGCCCUUGCGAGCCUUCUAGUCACAACCUCUUCCACACUCACUUGAGUUAGAUUCAAUACCAAAACCUGCGUAGAAGUUCUGAAUUAGACAAGUAUGAGGUACAAAGACCUGAAAUGGUUUUCAUUUGAUGUCUUUUGUCCAACAGUAAUUUAAAAUAUGGAAUUUCUGAUUAGAAACUAUGUUUUAUUAUUUCUUCAAAAAAUUACAAAUCAAAUAGACUUAUUAAUAAAAAUAGCUAUUUACUUACAAGCAAAGUAGGAAAACACUUUAAUGGCUGGACAAGUGACUUCUGUGACUUUGUUGCUAAUUUAGUAUUCUUAAAGAGCAAGUAUGUGUAGUACAUUGGAGAGUUAACCUCCUUGUAUUACCAAGAAAGAUACAUGCCGGGAUGUAUCUGAAUUUGUACACAUAAGACACUCCUAUUCUUAUCACUUUUGUUAUUUUCAUUUUUCUUUUGGGCACAUUGGGGGGAAACUUAGGUGCAUACAACCAAUGCAGUCAACCAAAAUCAUAUUUACUUGAGGAAAAAAGGAAAGGAGGGGAGGGGGGGGGGAGGGGACACAUGAUCUCCCCAAGACAUCCUUUCCGUGCUAGCCCCAAUCAAUGGGUUGAUUACGCUCCCCAUGUUGCAACCUUUAAAAUUGGUAAAUAGUUGGUCUCUUUGAACAAUGAGUUUGACCUGCUAUAAUAUCACUAGAAGUGAUUAUUUUUUAUUCUUUUUCAGAGAUUGAUCAAGAAUGUAGGUGUUAAAUUGACUUUACAAUAUGCCAUUUCUCUAAAACCUUAUAUUAGGAACUUUGAAUAAAACAUGUAUAUUUGAAGAUCUUAAACAAAUAAUAACUUUCAAAACUUUUCUUUUGUAUAAUAUAAUAUCAUAUUUCUAUAAAUUUUAAUGAAAAGUAUUUUUUUUUAACAUAUCCUUAUCUCAUUUGCUCCUUCUUGCCAGAUCAGACACUUGGACAUGGGUUCGAGUCUAGUUCUUGUGUCCAUGCCAAUGCGACGCUGCCUAUAAGUCCAUCUUUUCCUCCAGAGUUUCUUUAAUGUUAAAGAAUCUCAUCCAUAUAACUCAUUAAAUAACCACAUAAAGGAUUUUACUAGGUUAUCUUAUUGAUGCAGCUUCGGGUAUCUAUAAUGAAGGGAUUGCACUCAACUCAGAGAAGCAUUGUCUUCGAUUAUGUUCAAUCUUUUCCCUUUUCCAUAUAGAAAUAGCUCUAGUCAUUCGUCUAUUUGUGUCCCCUUGCCUGACCGUCCAUAUGUAUGUUGCCCCUUUGUUGUCCAUCCUAACACCCUUAAUUCAAUGAAAAACUCUAGUUUUCUAUUCCUUUAUCUAGUUGAUGAACAAGAGUAUUUCUAAUCUUGAUUUGAAACCAACCUCCUGUAUGGAUCACCAUAAGUUGCAGUAUUUUUUGGUAAAUAUUUCGAGCAGUAUGGUGGUAAUAUGCCACCACCAGGAUUUGAACCUUGGACCCCACCCAACAGCAAGUUUUUAGGUGAGUGGUGUCAACCAGCUAAUAGCUGUUGGCCACAAGUGCAUAUUUAAUAUUACUACUAUUUAGACAUUUUUUGAUGGAAUUUUGUAAUUUAUUAUUUCAGAGCUGUUCAUUAACGAUACUUCUGCUAUUUGCUCCUAUAUGGAUCAUCCCUCCUUUAAACUUUUUCCCUUUUUCCCUCUAAAUCCUGCUCCUUUGUUUUUUACUCCCUUUGUUUUUCUAUCUCCUAGCUUUGCAGAUGUAGACCUUUUGUUUUGGACCUAAGCUUUUUUUUAUUCUUUUGUUUCAGUUGCCUCUGGAUUCUCUACCUUUUUUUUGUGCUUGGGUGAUUCCUACUUAUUAGCUAUAGCCCACUGGUUGAUAAACUAAUUUUGACGAUUUUAGGUCAAAGUUAAUGCCAAUGAAACACUCAAAUAUUACAUAGAUUAUUGUUUUUUGGCAUUCAGCCUUCUCCAACAUACACCUCAUAUCCUCUGCUGCUCCAUAUUUCACCGUUUAAACCACCACAUAUAAAUAUUAUUUUCCCUUGAGAAUUCUUUGCAAUAAUUCAUCAUUCUCUUCCAAAACUUGCUUAUUAACUUUCUCCAGUUUUGUGCACUGUGUAUCCAUUAUUUCAUCUCAUCUUAUAAUACGUACUUAAUACCUAUUUACCUAUAGCACAUAGUAUCCUCAUAAGAAUUCUGUCUUUCAAGUCCAUCUACCAUUAUUCCUACUUCAUUCGCUUAUUCUCAUCCCACUUGUAGCCGUGACCAAUCUCCUUAGAUAUUUCUGCUUCCACAAGCAAAUAAUAUAUACUAUUGUUCAUGUUGAUGUAUGCCAACACAAGAUAGUUGGGAUGAGUCUUGAUGUUUAUGGUUGUGGUUCAUGUUGAUGCUACUCCUUCAAUGUCCUGACUCUCUAAGAGAUAAAUUGGUCUUCCUACUAAGAGACAAAUUGGUCUUCCUAUUUUUAGGACUAGCUCCUGUUUUCUUUUUGUUCCCUUUGGCAUUUUGCCACAUCUCUCCUAACCUUCAAGCUACAACAAUAAAUAAGUACCUCAGAAAUAAAAAUAUUGAAAGAGGUUAUAGAAUAUGCCAACUGACUUGCCUUCAUGUUUAAUAUAUUUAUAUUACCCUGAACCUAAUGCUUAGUAACUUCUUUCUGCAAAUUGCUGUCUUUUUUUGUGCGUUGCAUGCUCCCACUCCUACCUUUGAUCCAUAGACUCGAAAUUGGGUGAUAGAUAUAUGUCAGAAAAUUCACAUAGUUUUGAUCACUUUAACUAUUCCAUUUUCUGACAUUUGAAUGAUUCUUUUUCUUUUUAUUUCCAAAAUGUUCUAUGAAUGUGAUGGCUACGAUCAUUUAAACAACUGCAAUCUCUAUUGCAGAAAACAAAAAUAAUGACAAAUAAAAUGAAAAUGAUAGUGAUAUUUAUCUCUAAAAGGCUGCCUAGUCCACUGGAACAUGCCUGACUUAUGUUUGAGCUUAAAAGCACCCAAUGUUGAUGGAAAGGGACUUGAAUAAUAGCAAUGAUUUGGAUUUUGUUUUCCUAGCUCAUUUGGAUCGGGCAGAAUUUCUGCGAGUCCAGAGAAAUGGGCUAGAAAGGUAAUUUGCUUCUUUUUCUCCAGUUUAAAUCUAGCCUUAUUUAGUAACUGAAUCUUAGUUUUCAAGAGUGCUCCCUAUUGUAAUAUAAUCUGAGUAUGUUAUAUGCUUUGAGCAAGCCUAAAGUUGAUAAUAGUCGUUUACAAUCUACUAGAGAGUCAAGUGUGAUAUCUGCCUAUAUACAAUGUGCAAUCCACAUAUCUAUGCAGAAAGUGUUUGCAUAUGUAUCAUUCAUGGACUACAAUGACAAAUAUAACCUUAUCAGUCGAUGUCAAGAUGAUUUCAGUCAUAAAGUGCAACAUUAAACCAUAGUCACUUUACAAAAGGAUUGACUCUUCAGCAAAUAUACAUGAUCUUCAACCUGACAUCGACCAUCCUAAAGUUUUAACAACAAUCUUAGGCCAAUUUGGAGUCUGAAUGCUACCAAAAUGUAAUCAUUUAAUUUAAAUUGGUAUGUAAACUUAUACCAAUGUUGUUGUAAGAGUUUCAAUAUUAGGAUAAAUGAAAUUGGCAUGAACAUUCAAGCGUGUUGUAGUCAUAGGAAUACAAUUACAUAAAGCAAAAUCAUAUAAGUAAUUGGAAGAGCACAUUAACAUCCGUUCUAUAAUGGUUUAGUUUAUACCAAAAGAUCCCAUAAGCUCUGCUUUAAAUACUUAUUAUUAAUAUGCAGUCUAUAAAUUGGCUGAAGCAUUAUUAUAUGGUCUGAUCAACAACAGUGAUCUUUUUCUGACAAUUAAAAUAUAAUCAUCGCCAGUUAUGUCUUUAGAUUCCAUUUGUCAAAACAUGGAGUAUGGAACGAAAACUGGCUGAUACUAUCUGUAUUGGCCAAUUCCAACUGGUAGUGUCAUAAACAGUCCAGUGUUGAACCUUAGACUAGUAUUCCUGAAAAGGCCAAUUCACUACUAAACUUGAUCAAUAUAAAAAUAACUGAUUGGAGUGGUGGGUGGACCAGUUGUAAUUGUCAUUUCAUUAUGAUUCUGCUUGGAUGAGGUUGGUUCGAUCUUGUUCAGGCUAUUAAAAGUCUUUCAGGUGAUGAUAUCAUCUCUUCAAUCAUUCUCUUUAUUCUAAUACUAAUAAAGAAGAGAUGAAGCAGAACAUGGAGAAAGGAGGAAAAAGAGAAAACCUAACAUCUGAGCAUGAAAUAUACUUGUAACAUGGACUUCAUUUUGGCAAGGAGCCAUAGUGUUCUUGAAAAAUGCAUUUAUAAUAAAGGACUUCUUCAGGAUGUUGCUUAAAUCAAUGUUAGAGCUUGAACGCAUCCAGUUGGUUUUGUGUCUAAGCUUAUUAGGCUUUGCCUUCAAACUUGUUGGCCACCUCCGUGUUUUUUUUUUUGGUGUGUGUGUGGUUGGGUGGGGGGGGGGGAUGUGGAAGAGUUAAUGACAAAUUUUUAGGAGAGUGUAAUUACUUGGAUAGAACAAGCAUGUCUUCAAUUGCUUUUGGAUCUGACUGGGAAUGUGUUAAUUAUAAUUUUCAUCCUAAGUUUUUUCUAGGAUGUACGCUUUUUGUGCAAAAUCAUAAUUGUUUAUAUGGCCAUAGGAAUUUUUAAUGCUAAACUUGCUUUUUACUGGAUUCUCAAUUGGAAAAUAAACAACUCUGGUAGCUUUAUAUUUCAAGUUGGACAAAGAAUUUCCAUUAAAUCUUUAACACCAGGUUUCAAAUGUAUGUUGAUGAUUAAUUAUUGAAACUGAUGAUCCAAACAAUUGAUUAUAGCUUGCAAUUAAGUGCCCAAAAACUAAAGAAAAAGUAAUUAGUUUUGGAGGUCUCUUACCUAUGCAUCAAAUUGAGCAAAGAAAUGUAUGACACUGUAUGUUAGUGUGCUAAAUGUAUUAUGGAACAUAUGAAUUGAAAGUCAACACUGUUGAUCAUGAUUUACGCAUCUUAAAACAAGCAUAUAUUAUCAGAAACCAAAGAUGAAAAUACACAUUUUGACUACCUUUUAAAUGAUAGGUCUUAGCAAAAUCAUUUACAGUGCCAUUAAAACCAUUGAUAUUGCAUUUAGGGUGUCAGUGGGGGCUGAUAACUUACUAAAUACCCAGCUAAUUAGGCCCCCCUCCCCCACCCCCACCCCUAAAAAAAAGGGGGUGGGUGAGGAUUGUGUUUGGAUUUGGAUCUAACACAUUUUAGGUUUGGGUAUGGAUAGGGCCAAACUCUAUACGAACCUAACCUGUGGAUGCCCCUAAUUGCAUUCACUUUAUCCAUAAGUAGAAGACUUCAUAUGUGCUUUUUUAAGAUCUGGCGAAUUUCUGUUUUCUAGAUCAUGAUCGAAAGAUGCAGAACUUUAGUUCGAAUGGCUUGUCAUGAAUUUUGUAUCUAGUAAAAUGUUAAUUAUUUAAUGGCAAGACUGCUAUCUUACUCUUGUUUUUUUUUUCAUGCAAUUUGUUUAAGAAAUUCCUUGCGUUUUUCAAUAAUAUCUUUUUCCACUUCCAUUACCGGUGUUAUAUAAUUCUCAAGUUUGUAUUUCAUGAUCAAGGCCAUUCUGCAGAUUUGAUAAAUGUGUUAUCUGACAUGAACAUGAGAUUUUUCUGUUGCUAAUACUAUAUUUUUCUGUGAGUUAACAACUUGUUACCUUUUACUUUAUUUGCUACCAAUUUUGUUACUGUGUGACUCUGAUGGUUAUGUAAUUGCAGAUUGAACUUUUUGACAUCCUUGGUGAUGUGGUAUCCUGUUCAUUUUUGUUUUAUGUCAUUUUCUUGUUUGAUAUAGCAGAGCUUUUUUAGCGUUUUGUGUCUUGAUUCUUGUGAUGGUGCUUCUUCUUCAGGAUCAUGUGCAGCAGCAACAACAGAUGGUUGACCAUGUUUGGCAUGAAUUUAACACAAUCAGUUCAACAAAGUGUCUGAGGGAACUGUACUGCUGCAUGCCUCCUAUCGAGCCAUUUGUCUUGAGCUUUAGAAGAUAGGCAUCAUUGGUAUUCUUUUAGUGGAUUUUGGCUUGUUUCUUUCGAUCUCAUUGAUCCUUCCACAACUGCUCUUACCUUCAAAGAUUGUUUUUGUGUUUUACAAUAGGAACUAGUGAAACAUGUGGUCUAAGUAAGAUGUCUGUGGUGAUAAUUUUACCAUUUUGACAUGAUAAUAUGCUGCCCUUAUUGUUAAACGACUAUAUCAUGAUUUUUAAUCAUCGUCAUGAUUUCAUACUGUCGCAGCUCAAAAUGUGGCCUGUUGGUUACUCGGUCAUUGAAUUGCGGGGAUGCCAACUAGUUGAGUUGGUAAAGUCGCUAGGGGAGGUGCCAUUGAGACUGGUUUGACUCCCACCGACUCUGAAUUCAGGGAGGCUUCCUCCUAUCCCAGUUAUCAGAAUGGGAGGAGGAUGAUCCUCUUCCUCAAAAGGAGGAUGAUCCAUUUUGUUUUAUAUGGUGUGGGCUGCAUGACAUGUGGACUAGUGAGGUGAUUACUGUGUUUCUAUGGUGUCUAUAGGCGCAUAUGCAGGAUCCAUUUGAUUUAUCCAAAUAUUCUAUGCAUAUUUUCUCAAUUUUUUUGUAUCUUAUGUUACUGAAUUACUUUUUAGUUACCAUUUCAUUGUUUUCUCAUUGAAAUAUCGACAAGGAGCCGAAAAAGGAAGGAAGGACGAGUACUAGGUCAGGUAUUGGAUAAUUGAUUUGCUAAUUCUUUGAAAUGAAGAAACUAUAUUUUGUGAUUUUAGCUGCGAUAUAAACUAUUGUUAAUAAAAGAAACUAUAUUUGCUAAUUGAUUUGCUUGAUAACAGCUAAUCACUUUUGGACCUUGCUCUAAGGUUCUCAAACCUCAAUUAAAGAUUGCUUCUCUACUUUUACUGAAUGUUGUUACUAAAACAUAUUGGAAUUCUCCUAGCGUCCAGCUGUGGCAAGAAUUUCCAUAUUUUUCAGCCCUGUUUGGUUGGAGAAUGUGUCUAUCCCCUAUGGAAUUAUUAUCCUCGGACAACUCGGAAUCCUGCUGGUUGCAGUCUUUUUCUUCUGGUAAUCUAGGAACAUCACUCGAUUGGAUUUUAGCUAGUGAUGCUGUUAGACGAGGGAAAAAAAUAAGUAACUGUUUUUUGGGGAUAGGAAGUAAAUCUUUUGGGCUCAUUUUCUGGGUAAUUAGAAUUUGAAUAAACCGGGAAUAAGUCUAUUUCAAUUUCCCCACGGAAUUGCUGUCCCUGUGGAACCUCUGUGGAAAUUCAAAUGCUUAAUUUUUUUUGUUAUGGAUUUUGUAAGGAUCUAUGUAAUCCAGCACACAAAAUCUGCACUUAAUCUUUUACUUGAUAUGAACAUUUUAUAACAUAAUUAAAUAUGUUUACGGAUCACAUGUUUUUAAUAUCAUGGCUGAAGCCUAACCCAACUUUGAUUUGAUAUCCAAUCAGAAAGGAGAACUUUAUCUAGACGACUAGAACUCAUUUCAUUAUGAAGUUAUUCAUUCAUCAUGUGAUGCUAAUAUUAAAAAUACUAGUAUUAGUGGUAGGAAUUUUUGCUUGGCUGUCAUCAAAAUUCAUUACUUGGUGCAAGGCUAGUAAUAGCAAUGUCGUUAUUAAUGAUAGGAGUUUCUACGAAGGCUCAACUUGUGCAGAAUCCUCUAUUUGUGCAUGUUGAUCUUAAUAAUGUAGGCACAAUGACAAGGCUUUCUCCUUGGCUAUCAUUAAAGAAAAAAAAUCGUGAAGGCAUAAUGACACUUAAUAGUAACAAUGAGAGUUUCUAUAUGGAUGUUCAACUUAUAUAGAUAACACGAGUUUCCAGUUGUCUAUAAUUAAAUUUUAUUACUUAAUAUGUAAUAAAAAUUUAUUUAUUGAAAUCUUCUAUUUAUUAUAAUUUGUUGUAUUAUCAUAUUGCAUCUCAAAAAUAGUUGGAAAAAGGAAAAAAUACUAUACAUCAUGUAGGAUCGAUAUUAAUAAUGUCGAUAUUGAUGAUGUGAAUUUAUAUAUGAAGGCUUUUGUACAAAGUUUUUCAUUCAUCAUGUAGAUGCUGGGGUUAAUGAUGCCAGUAUUAAUUACAGGAGUAUUUGCUUGACCAUUAUUAAAGUUCAUUGCUUCGUGCAAAGCUAGUAUUAGUAACACCGGUAUUAUUGAUGAAAGUUUCUAUAUAGAGGCUCAGCUUGUGCAUAGUCUCUAUUAACCAUGUAAAUGCGGAUCUUAAUGACACCAGGGUAAUGAUGGAGGUUUCUUCUCGACCACCAUUAAAGUUCAUUGUAUUUCGAGAAUAGUUGGGAACUGAAGAAAAAAUCAUAUACUUCACAUGAUGCACAGUUGGUAUUACUAACGAGAGUUUCUGCAUGGAGGUUCAGCUUAUAUAGAGUUCGCUAUUGGCCAUGUUAAUGCCGGUAUUAAUGACACUAAUGUUAAUAUUAAACGUUUUUGCUUGUCAAUUAUUAGAUUUUAUUACUUAAUAUGCAAUAGAAAUUUAUUUAUUGAAGCCUUCUAUUUAUUAUAAUUUGUGAUAUUGUUAUACUACAUUUCAAAAAUAAUUGAAAAAAAGAGAAACAAUAGUAUCCCACCCAUCGUAUAGGACUGAUAUUGGUAAUGCUGGAAUUCAUGCAUGAGCCAUUGCCACCCUCUUCAUCAUCAGUUGAUGAUGAUCUGACGAGAAUUCCAAUAGAGCCAGGCUAGGAGCAUAAGAUUGUGCGUUGGAAAAGUUGCUUGGUGUUUCUUGCCAGCGGACAAUGAAUCAAUAAGUGGUCAACAUCCCUUGCAGCAGUUGGGCAAUGAUCACAACAAGCAGUUUGAUUAUUAAGAAGGUGCCUUAGAACUAAUGUAGGUUUACAUGGUAACCGCAGCCCAAGUAAUUUUCCGCCAAAAAUGUCUUAAUACAUAUCCAACUAAAAUUUUGUCUUAUAGAGGCAUUGAUAUAUUGACAUAUCCUCUUACUAGUGUCACUUGACUUUGAUUAAUACUGAUUUCUCUGCAUCACCCCAUACUAGAUUAAGAAGUGGUAUCAGAAUUUCUGUAAUCCGACUUGACUUUGAAAAAGAAAACUGCCGCUGACCAUAUUACAAUCAAGCACAUCCCAACUUUAGAAGCCCAAAUGUGUUAAAAAAAAUUCCCUGAAAUUGCUUCUCAAGCCUCAAUUCAGCAAAUUGCAAGUCCAAUUCAGCUUCAAAGCGGAGGGAGUUAGUGAUAUAAAAUAUUAUAGGAAAGCAACGUAGUAAUUGCCUGUUACCAUUCAUCAUCUUGGGAAGGAAUUGAAGGAAUUUUAGGAACCCAUCCCCUGGUCACCUCAAGAUGAACUUCGACGAUGCUAUACGAAGACAGAGAUGGGGUGGGGUUCAUAAUCCGCGAUCACAAUUUUCGGCUGACUGCUGCAGAAAGGUGAUACAUCUGUGAUACGACAGUUACAGAAGCGAAGCUCAGUGCGGCAUGAGAGGAUAUCACACAUGCAAGGUCUGUUCUAAGGGCUGGUGAGAUUAUCCUGAAAGGAGAUUCUACCAUGAUGAUUGAUUGGAUUCGGGAUGUUGUGCGACAGACUGACGGUCAUCCUCUUCUUAGCGAUAUACAACGCAUGGUGCGAGACUGUGACUCCUUUUAGAUGGUUCAUGUAUAUCGGGAGACGAAUAGAGCGACUGACUAAGUUGCCUUCUUUCUGCCCAUUAUUCUGUAGAGGUCUCAUGAACACGGACAGAUGUUGUACCUUUUUUUAGGCCACAUUUUGUAUCUUGGCUGAGUUGGUUAUAUUUAUGCUAAUUUACCUGAGCGGCCGUCUUAAAAAAAACAAAAAAUCAAAAUUUUGGAGCAUCAAAUGUGCUCAUCGUGUCGUGGCGGACGCUGUCAGCUGUCACGAUUCACUAUGUUUUUGUAUCUUGACUGAGUUGGUCAUACUUAAGCUAGGUCUACGUGCGCAACAGUCUUAUAAAAAACAAAAAUCGAAAUUUUGGAGCAUGAAAUGUGCUCAUCGUGUCGUGGUGGACGCUGUCAGCUGUCACGAUUCACCAGUAACAAACGGGUUACUAUGAGUAAUCUUGGAAGGAAGGCGGCUAGGGGUCUACUUCUAUCUCCAGGCAACGAUCCUAAUCUCCCCUGGAGACUCGUCCCCCCCCCCCCAUUUAAUUCCCACUUCUCCCUGCGAUUUUUUUUUUUUAAUAUCCAAUGGGUCCCAGUCCAUCCGAAUAGAUGGAUAUUCUUGCUCGGUUCUUACCAGGAAUUCCCCUCCCUUCCAUGGCAGCCUCCCUUCUUCUCUCUGCGUCUCUAUGCCGGCCUCUAUUCGAGAAGCCUUCUUAAUGGCCGCGAAUACUCGUCGCAGACUCGUGCGUGCCCUCCAAGCCCUCUACUCUAUCUCCCGUCAACGAGGGAUCCAUUAAAAUCGCGACUUUCCCAUUCUUGGUCCGGGUUGUUUCUAGGAUUUCAUUGUUCUCAGAUUUCUUCUUCGAAAAAUCCGUUGUCUUCAAUCGAAUUGAGGUCUCCUUCUCUGGUUCUGGUAAGCAAGAUUUCUCUUUUCCCAUCUGGAUUGUUCCCCAAAUCCAAAUCUUUACAUUCUUUCGGCCCGUUCUUGAAUUNNNNNNNNNNNNNNNNNNNNNNNNNNNNNNNNNNNNNNNNNNNNNNNNNNNNNNNNNGACUUGGACCUCGACUUCCCGAACCCGGAAGUGUUCCCGGGCCCUGAUGUCGGGGACCAGAUGCCCGGCAACUGCUGGAUAGAUGGCUUCUUCGACGAGAGCGUCAAGGACAUGCCCCGCCACUCUUGCACCCACACCCACACCUGUAAUCCUCCGGGGGGAGACCUCUCGCACACCCACACCUGCUUCCAUGCCCACACCAGGAUCCUCUCGGCUCCUUCCAAUGAGACUUCUUCCGAGUCCGCCGAGAAGAGCUCAUCAAAGAAGAGACCAAUUGGCAACCGAGAGGCUGUCCGGAAGUACCGCGAGAAGAAGAAGGCUCACACGGCCUCGCUGGAGGAUGAGAUUGUCCAAUUGAGGGCGCUCAAUCAGCAGCUGAUGAAGAGGCUGCAGGGCCAAGUAGCUCUGGAUGCAGAGGUGGCAAGGCUUAGGUGCUUGCUUGUCGAUAUAAGGGGAAGGAUAGAAGGAGAGAUUGGGGCCUUCCCUUAUAACAGGGCAGCGAGAAUGGGCGGGGAUUUGGUUUCUAAUGCAACCCAGGGGAACCUUUUUGGUGCUCACAUCAUAAAUUCGUGCAAUGUGCGCUGUGAUGACCAGAUCAACUGCAUGCAAUCAGUGAUGCAAGGCGAAGAUGGGGAUGAAGAUGGUGCAUUGGAUGGCGAGAACUUUGAUGCUUGUGAGAUUGGCAAUAUUCGGUGCAUGGGGAGUUCGAGUACAGGAUCUAAGGUCAUCUUGACUUGUGGCCAUGGAAAUGCGAAUGGAAAUGCGAUGGCUGCUGGAUGUUCGUCUAAGGCCAAGAAAACUAAAGGUCAGUUCUGAUUUACCUUUUUCUUUAUUGAAAGUGCUUGUUGAAUAUUUUAGUGGUCUUCUUCUAUUUGAUUAGCAGGCAUUUGAACAUUUUCCGAUGUCGAUUAGUUAUUGAAUUGCUAGAGUGAUACAUGUAAAGCCUACCCUAUUUGAUGUGCUGGAAUUAGAAGCACUAAUCUGGUUGUCAUGUAUUUCUUUUCAUUUCAUAUGGACUUUGGGAUGCAGCAAGCUUCAAUCCUCCAAGUCCAUGUGCAUUUUUAGGGAAUUAGUCAUGGCAUCUGUAGUAAUCUACCUCCAAUGGAAAAUCCAUUGGAGCUACUGUUAAGAUUUUUGGGUGCAUUGAUGUCACCUUAAGUAGUCGGUGAUUUUAGGCAAUCCUACUUUUAUACAGGACAUGAUAUUGGACUUUAACCUUCUUCAGUAAAAUCAUGAACUUGAAAACUAUUGAGAGCAUUCAAGUUAUGUGAAAUUGGCUUGUUAAGAAGAAUCUACGAUUUCAUACUUACAAACAAGGACCUCGUGUCCACCUCCAAGGGUAUAAAAUAGAAAUACUUAUAGGAGUCUAAUACAUGUCAGUCUGAGGUGGAAAUGUCGUUUGGUGGGAUAAAUUGCAAUAAGGCAGGAUAAAGGGGUUAUAUUCCUCACUAUCUUUUAACCGAACAAAUCCUCUACAUACGGGGAAAAGUGCUAUAUUUUGUACCUUCUUACAACUUUAUAGUGAGUUUGAAGCUAAGUUAGUAGUAAUUUUCUCGAAUUGAUUUUGAUGGCUUUCUAUGUUAGAUUGUAUAGAGGUAUGAAAUUUGCUAUUUUUAGAAAGUCUGAACUCUGAAAGUAUCCUAGUUGAAUAAGGGGCUAGCGGACAAGUCUUAUUAUGUAUUUGGCUAUAAAAGAAUAGAGAGAAGAUCGUCUAACAAGUUCAGUGAUAAUCAAUGCAAAAUAAAUUCUUUUCUACUAUCAUUACUUCUAACUUCUUCCCCGUAUUUUUCUUAUCUUCUAUUCUAUUUGUUACUUUCUCUUUGAAAUAGCAAUUAGAUAAACAAAAGUGAUCUUUAAUGACUACAUCAUUUUCAAAUCUGAUUUAAACUGUCCCGUAACCACUCAUUAUGUAUUCUUUGACCAAUGGGGCUACAUCAAGGUUUCCUAGUCCAAGACAUAAGAGCUGCUUUCAACCUGCUGCCUGAUGAAAGCUUCUUUGACGAGGUUGUCAAAAUCAUUCACCUAUACGCAAGCACCCCGAUGGUGGCCCUUGCCAGCCUUCUAGUCUCGACCUCUUCCACACUCACUUUAGUUAGAUUCAAUACCAAAACCUGCGUAGAAGUUCUGAAUUAGACAAGUAUGAGGUACAAAGACCUGAAAUGGUUUUCAUUUGAUGUCUUUUUUCCAACACUAAUUUAAAAUAUGGAAUUUCUAAUUAGAAACUAUGUUUUAUUAUUUCUUCAAAAAAUUACAAAUCAAAUAGACUUAUUAAUAAAAAUAGCUAUUUACUUACAAGCAAAGUAGGAAAACACUUUAAUGGCUGGACAAGUGACUUCUGUGACUUUGUUGCUAAUUUAGUAUUCUUGAA
rnacentral:lncRNA from 1 species